GCCCCUGUGGCUCAAAGGGGUAGGGUGCUGGUCCCAUAUGCUAGAGGUGGCAGGUUCAAACCCAGCCCUGGGCA
rfam:Otolemur garnettii contig072380, whole genome shotgun sequence.